UACGAAGGGGGCUAGCGUUGUUCGGAAUUACUGGGCGUAAAGGGCGCGUAGGCGGUGUGUCAAGUCAGGCGUGAAAGCCCCGGGCUCAACCUGGGAACCGCGCUUGAGACUGGCACGCUAGAGUUCGGGAGAGGAUGGUGGAAUUCCCAGUGUAGAGGUGAAAUUCGUAGAUAUUGGGAACAACACCGAUGGCGAAGGCAGCCAUCUGGACCGACACUGACGCUGAGGCGCGAAAGCGUGGGGAGCAAACAGG
rnacentral:rRNA from 1 species